UCAAACUGUGUUUCUGCACCUGACCAGUUUAACACCAGCUGAUAGUGGGAACUACUCCUGUGAGUGUUCUAAUCUUGAUGGAACAUUUAUUUUCCAUCUCAGCAUCACAGUUAAAGACUCAAAUCCCGAUGAGAAUCUGUCAGAUGAAAUUUGGAGCCAGUCURCAGGAGUGACUUAUUUUUCUGCUUUAACUGCUGCAGUUCUCCUAAUUAUAGUUUCAGUUUUUCUGGUAUUUAUUUACAGAAGACGUCCAMAUCGCACCUGUUUAAGAUCUGAAACAUCUGGAUCAUCUGUGCAUAGAUCUACGGCGGCCACAGGUGAAGACAACACAGAUGAACUGUACAYGRRUCUCCAGCGGCCAACAGCAGACAUCUACCAGACUGUUUCUUCAGGUCACCAUCGGCAUGAAACUCAAASAAACUCMACUAACGACAUCAUAACCGACGACGUGGAAAAUCUGGAAAGGARCAGGAUUUAUAGAAUCUAUGAAAAUGAUAUGAGAUAAAUAAAGUCUGAUAAACAUUUGGCCRAAUUUCCUUUCACUGUUUUACCGAGCGAGACUAAUUAUGAAGCUUUKUCAGUUAUUAACAUCGGUUUGUGUGGACAGAAUCUGCUUGCUGAAAAAUGACAGCUUAAGCUUCUCACUUGAUUUUUCCCAGUAAUAAAUUCUUUUUUAAAAAUUACA